rnacentral:rRNA from 1 species
AUUGACCUCGGAUCAGGUAGGGAUACCCGCCGAACUUAAGCAUAUCAAUCAGCGGAGGAAAAGAAACCAACAGGGAUUGCCUUAGUAACGGCGAGUGAAGCGGCAACAGCUCAAAUUUGAAAUCUGGCCCCUUUGGGGUCCGAGUUGUAAUUUGUAGAGAGUGUUUCGGGUGAGGACACGGUCUAAGUCCAUUGGAACAUGGCGUCAUAGAGGGUGAGAAUCCCGUAUGUGACCGUGGAUCGAGCCCAUGUGAAGCCUCUUCGACGAGUCGAGUUGUUUGGGAAUGCAGCUCAAAAUGGGUGGUAAAUUUCAUCUAAAGCUAAAUACUGGCUGGAGACCGAUAGCGCACAAGUAGAGUGAUCGAAAGAUGAAAAGCACUUUGGAAAGAGAGUGAAACAGUACGUGAAAUUGUUGAAA